CGCCAGGUGUUUGAUGGGAGGUUUGAACUGGAGUUCAUCAUUAUUUUCCAUCCGUGACCCACAAGUCUUUGCACAGCGAUGAAGUUAUAUUCUUACUUGAGUGUUUUGUCUCUCGGUGUCAAUUAUAAACUAUUAAUCAUGUGUAUAUUUGUGUGUUCUUGUGAGGAGAGAAACCUUCGGGACCGAUGGUGAAGAAGUGAAGCCCAUUCGACGCUUGCUAAAUGUUCGGUAGAAGGUUCGAACCAAAAAUCAUCGUCGAUCUCGUGAUUUCGAGUUUGGUUUAGUUAUGGUGAGCUCUUUCACAAUUCAUGGUAAUUACCUUGUAUGGGUGGAGGGAAUAGACGUAGUUGUUGUGAUGGUUAUCUUGUUUAUGUAUAUGCGGGGCGUGGAUUGAAACACAGGGAUAGCGAGGAGCGUUUGAAUAGACCAGUACGUAUUAUUGUGAAGCCACGUUUUCUUGUAUUGGCGUGAAUGCGUGGGUAUGAAAUAGUUACGUCGUGUGAAGUCUAGGUUGAGAUGCAAAUUGUGUGAAUCAUUGGAUGAAGAUAUAUGCAUAGUAUAAUUAAAAAGGGAGCUCUUCUAUGUGAUGAUAUAAUGUAUAGAAUGUGCUUGGAUGAAUAUAGGUCCAUGUGGGCCCGAUAACUUGGGAGGUUCUGCGACAGCUAGUAUCGGAGCAUGAUUAAGUAUAAUACGGUCACAUACGUAUUUUUAAAACAAAGUUUUGGUUUCGAAAACCUAUUUUGUAACUAAACACAUCGUUUGGUUUUGAAAAACAAAUUUGAAAAACUAUAAUGCUAGCGACAUCCUCUGUAAGCCCUAAAUUAAGGACUACUAGGUGGCUUGAUAAAAAAUACUGACCCACAACCUAGGAAGGGUAAUGCAUACAUGUGUAUUGUUAUUUUUGAGGCCAUUCAGUUUUGAAUGGAUCGACGCUCAGGUAAUGUGAGAGCAUGACCGAACAAACGUCGGUCUAGGGAAGAGUAUAAAAAGUGCUUGAUUAUAUACAUGUUCCCCAUGUGUAUAUAUGAAAGCUGCGAUGUGGAGUAAUCACUUUUUCAGGAAUUCAGUAUCCCAUGGAUGUGUACGGGUAUAUAGACAUGAGAAUACUGAGAAAUGUAAUGUACUUGUAACGACGCACCUACGCUCAGGUAAGAUGGUGAGUUACCAUAAUGGGCUGCCCUAUGGUUAAAGUGUGGCAGCGGCGCCUAUGCGUGGCUCGGCGCUUAAUGAGGAGCUGGCUUCCAUAUAGAAAUAUAUGGAGUAAUAUGGAGUAUAAACUGUGAUAAACUGUCAUGUGUGAAUUGCAUCAUUGGGAAAUGGGCUGUGAUGGAAAUUUUCUGCAGGUACACUAACUUCGAAACAUAUGUGUAGCUGACGACUAGCAAUAUACCGAGAGAGAACGUAGAUAUGCCACCGAUAUAGAACGCUAUUGCCACAUUAUGUUGGCGAAAUUUGUGAGGACGAAUAGAACGAGCAUGCAUCUUAAUUGUUACAUUGUGUUUGUCGUUUGUGCACAAAUAUGCUUCUCUCACCUUUAUUCUAAUAAUUGGUGAUUGUGAACGAACGUGCUUCCCUUAUCUUUAUUUCGAUAAUAAAUAAUUGGAAAAUGUGGAAGCAUUACUGUCCUAUAAGCAAAUUUCUAGUUUUGUUUGUUGGGUCCUUUAAACAUGUCUUUAUGUGGUUUAUGGUUCUUCUUAAUUUGAUCGCUAGUCCAACUUGUGUUUGUGAUGGUGUGUUUGUGUCGGUAGAAUGUUGGUGGUAUGUUUGUGUAAACUAAAAAUUUGGCCAUGUCCUCAUUUAGGAGCCAUGACCCAAAUCGAUGUUAAUUCCCCGAAGUUUUUCCCCAGUUUCCAAAAGUGGACGAGUCUGAAUUCCCAUCGUUACUUUAGGACCAAGCUUAUCUAAAUAGGUGUUUAGGUAAUCUUCUCGUAGAAAAUAAAUGCACCUAAGCUUAAGACAAGGAUCUCGAGUACGUGUUUUCGUCGUUUAAUACGUGACUCUUCAGUGGUCAUGUUUUCCUCCUAAGCUUCGACUUGUUCGGUUGGUGCAAACUAGUAUCCCUAUUCCAGUUUGCCUCUGCUUGAGGAUCACAUUGUCGGUUUCUCAAUCUAACCUAGGAAAGGAAUGCCUAGUCGUUUUCUCGAAUUUAAUGCCAAUGGUUUCCUCAUAGCUCUCGAAGGCAUAUUAAUUUAAUAUCCCGGUCGUUUUUCCUGCGUAUCUAAUCAGAUGAUCAUCCUUGACCUUGAAUAUGCUGCGAUGGGCAUAGAAAUAUGCUUGGGGCUGAAAUAACAAUCUCCCAUCGUACUCCCUCAUCAACCAAUUUAGGUUUUGGUAAUCUCGUGUUUCUUUCAUCGGGCCAGGACCUAUUUGGCUCUCUACCUGUAACCAUUCUUAUAGGUGGAGUCUCUUUUGUAUAUUGUCAUCCUGGCUCAGUCUAUUUGUUACGCGUGAGAUUUCUUAUUGGUUACGUCUGGUAAUGGUGUUAUGACUAAAAAUGACGGUGCCGCGACGAAACCGAGGGCCUCCUGUGGGUGAUCAACACAUGGUUGCGCUACUUGGCACGCGCUGGUAUCAUAGUUAGUAGUCAUAAUCCAUUAUGAGAUUAUAUCGAUAUGUUAUCUUUGCGCAAAUUGUUCUUAGCAUGUGAGAUUCAUUAUCAGUGCUAGUUCGAUGAUGGUGUCCUAGUUAAUGACUUUUGGUGCCGCGUAAAGCCGAAAGUCUCAUGUGGCGGCCGACACAUAAUAGUGUUGUUCGGUACGCUGGUAUCGAAGUUUCUGGUUAUGAUCCAUUAUGGAACUACACUGACAUGUUAUCUUCCAUAGACUGCUUCCUUGAAAUAAUUUCUAUGUUGUUUAUCAGAAUGAUCAAGCCACAUAUGCCAUCACUAUUGGACCAAGAGAGUAUAUAACUCUGAUGUAUUCCUUAAGUAAAGUUCUUUCCAGACCAGAAGUUUUCACCGAAAAUCGAAACCUAUCUGUGUCUAAUCGUGUGAUAAAAUCACCCUUUUCAUGUGGGGACUCCUUUCUCUUGAUCUUAAUGUCAACUGCACACAUGGAACCUUAUCUGUUCUCCUGUCAGAUAUCAUCUCUAUUACCGACAUCUCUAAUUAGCUUAAAGAUGAUACAUGCUAUACCCACUUGAGAAACAACAUCUUGAGAUACUUGUCUCCGCUUGGAACUACCUUAUGCUAUCGCUGAUAUGGACAGGAAUUACAUGCCUCUCUACUCUUAGAAGUCUUUCAUUCUGAAUCUCGGGACGAGAUUCUUUUAAGGGGGGAGGGUUGUAACACCCCAGGUGUUUAUCGUCUGCUCGACCACGAGUGCAGACUUUAACACGUGAUAGCAGUGAAUAAAAUGGACACUAAAUUUUAAUAAUCUUCGUCUAUCGCGAUUUUGAUAUCGUGUCUGUCUCCAUCUGUCUAAAUUGUCGCUAAUUUAUUUUUGCAAAAUUCAGACUUUAGUAAUCUUUCGAAACAUCGAAUUCAAUAUUGUUUGGGUUGAGCCAUCGACGUCUUGCCCAAACUCUAAUUCUUGAAAUCGGAUCUGGUUCCUAAACUGUGUUUCAAAUUCUUUCAUGCUUGCAUUGCACAUGUUUCUCUGUGGCCUGGCAUUGUGGCGCGUGGCAGGUGCUAACCGGUGUCUGGACAGCGCACAACCUCUCGCCCACGUGAACGAUGUUGUAUCGUUCUCGCGUAUUUAUUUCACGAAAUGUCGAGUCUUAGUCCUGUUUAAAACUAAUGGAUUAAGAGAACACGAAUUUGGGAUCCCGACCCACUUUUGUGGUUGUUGUACUAAGUAAAUGUUAUUAGAACUCGACAACAAUAGUAUUGCAGCAAAAUUUAAAUCUGACCGAGAUAAUUAGAGUCGGAACUGUGUAUCCAUAAUUAAUCUGUUUCACUGUCUACAACUGUGGAAAUUUGUCUGGUCCCGAAAAUACCUCCCAUUGUAAGCGCAGUCCAAAAACAUCAAAAUUUAUAUUAUUUUGAUUGGUCUGUUUGCAUCUCAUUUGGAUUCAAAUCCUAUAGCUAAAUUAUAUGUAUGUUCUUUUGUUAAAGGUUGGAGAAGAAAAAUCUUAAAUUUUCUCUUACCCACAGCUCAAGCUGCUCUCAGCCUUAUCCCCUACGCACGCCAAGCCUCAUCCUCCUAGCCGUCAUCUCCCUCACGGCGCCAAGCCCAUGGCUUUCCUGGUGCUCGCCUCUCCCAGUCAUUCCUAUCUCCAGCAUUGGCUGCCAUCUCCUCCACAAGGUGUCUUCUCCGUCGCCGCUCCUUGCGUGAUUCCCUUGGCCGGCGUCCUUGACUACUCAGCCAUGGAGGUCGCUGCCCCUUCUUUUCCUCAUCUCCCUCCAUCGGUUCUGAGCUUGGCGUCCCUGCUCCCUGCUCAUGUCCCUCCCAUGGACGCCGCCCCCUCCCUCAGCUCACUCCCUCUAGCCGCCAUGGAGCUCGCCCCUGCCCAAGUCCAAUUGCCUAUGUUUCCCCCUCUCUCUGUUGGUGGCUGGCGUCCCAUCUCCCUUGCGUUGGACGGCCGCCGCUUCAUUCUCGUCGCUGGCGUUUGUCCCUGCUCCAGCUAGUUCUCAUGGCCAUGCCCCUGUUCCCUAGGUCCGAGCUCGCCCAACUCCCUAGCCAUCUCUGCUCGCCCCUCUCCGUCUCUGUGCGAGCAGCAGCACGCCAGGGCAGACCUAUGUCCUCGACGCGCGCCAGGUGUUUGAUGGGAGGUUUGAACUAGAGUUCAUCAUUAUUUUCCAUCUGUGACCAAGUCUUUGCACAGCGAUGAAGUUAUAUUCUUACUUGAGUGUUUUGUCUCUCGGUGUCAAUUAUAAACUAUUAAUCAUGUGUAUAUUUGUGUGUUCUUGUGAGGAGAGAAACCCUCGGGACCGAUGGUGAAGAAGUGAAGCCCGUUCGACGCUUGCUAAAUGUUCGGUAGAAGGUUCGAACCAAAAAUCAUCGUCGAUCUCGUGAUUUCGAGUUUGGUUUAGUUAUGGUGAGCUCUUUCACAAUUCAUGGUAAUUACUUUGUAUGGGUGGAGGGAAUAGACAUAGUUGUUGUGAUGGUUAUCUUGUUUAUGUAUAUGCGGGGCGUGGACUAAAACACAGGGAUAGCGAGGAGCGUUUGAAUAGACCAGUACGUAUUAUUGUGAAGCCACGUUUUCUUUUAUUGGCGUGAUUGCGUGGGUAUGAAAUAGUUACGUCGUGUGAAGUCUAGGUUGAGAUGCAAAUUGUGUGAAUCAUUGGAUGAAGAUAUAUGCAUAGUAUAAUUAAAAAGGGAGUUCUUCUAUGUGAUGAUAUAAUGUAUAGAAUGUGCUUGGAUGAAUAUAGGUGCA
rnacentral:lncRNA from 1 species